rnacentral:rRNA from 1 species
AUGAACGCUGGCGGCGUGCCUAAUACAUGCAAGUCGCGCGAACAGACGAGGAGCUUGCUCCUCUGACGUUAGCGGCGGACGGGUGAGUAACACGUGGAUAACCUACCUAUAAGACUGGGAUAACUUCGGGAAACCGGAGCUAAUACCGGAUAAUAUAUUGAACCGCAUGGUUCAAUAGUGAAAGACGGUUUUGCUGUCACUUAUAGAUGGAUCCGCGCCGCAUUAGCUAGUUGGUAAGGUAUCGGCUUACCAAGGCAACGAUGCGUAGCCGACCUGAGAGGGUGAUCGGCCACACUGGAACUGAGACACGGUCCAGACUCCUACGGGAGGCAGCAGUAGGGAAUCUUCCGCAAUGGGCGAAGGCCUGACGGAGCAACGCCGCGUGAGUGAUGAAGGUCUUCGGAUCGUAAAACUCUGUUAUUAGGGAAGAACAAAUGUGUAAGUAACUAUGCACGUCUUGACGGUACCUAAUCAGAAAGCCACGGCUAACUACGUG